ensembl:snRNA U6 U6 spliceosomal RNA
GUGCUUGCUUCGGCAGUGCAUAUACUAAAAUUGGAACGAUACAGAGAAGAUUAGCAUAGUGACUGCACAAGGAUGACAUGCAAAUUUGUGAAGCGUUCCAUGAUUUU